UACGGAGGGUGCGAGCGUUGUCCGGAAUCACUGGGCGUAAAGGGCGCGUAGGCGGCUGGGGAAGUCGGCGGUGAAAGCCCGGAGCUCAACUCCGGGUCGGCCGUCGAGACUCCUCGGCUCGAGCUCACUAGAGGCAGAUGGAAUUCCGGGUGUAGCGGUGGAAUGCGUAGAGACCCGGAAGAACACCGGUGGCGAAGGCGGUCUGCUGGGGUGAGGCUGACGCUGAUGCGCGACAGCGUGGGGAGCAAACAGG
rnacentral:rRNA from 1 species